AGUCCUGGGCUGAGCUUCAGAAGAUCUCAGAUCACUGACAUUCUUUCUAAGAGUACUCCCAGAUAUAUUUCUAAGUAAUAUUCCUUCUCUUCUUGGGGGAAAUUAGAGAAGAUUUCUACCUGGUGCUAUAUCAACUCAAGGAUAGAGUCAAAUACUGAGAGGCUCUGUCAUUUGUCUUUGGGUCUUCUUCUGUGAAAAUUCUAACAAGGAGCAAAGAGCAAAGAAAAAACUGAAAUGCUGCAGACUCCAAUGAGAAAAAAGUGAGUUAUAGUUGGUAAGUGGUUUCAGUGUGCUUGUGCUUGAAACUCUAUCCCAGUGCUUUUUUCAGCUAAGGCUGCAAAUUGAAAAUGUGAACAAAGUUGCCUGCUAGACCAGACUGGGCUUGUGGCAGCAUCAUUCUGUCACUUAAUUCUUCUCACUGAGACACUAACAAAUCAUCUGUAUGCCUAAUGUUGAUGCUGUCUUUCCCUAGUGUACUGGGCAAUCUAAGACAGGGAAAUAAAGAUAAGUUUUGGAUUGCAGAAUGAGGAGCCAAAACUAAUGCAGUUCCAUCUCUCCUUAACGGACAGAAAAGCUACACUGUUUUUGCUGCACCUGUAGAUAAAAUUAUUGGUUUUGGAGUACCCUCACUGAGUCCAGGGGUGUCAUCUUUACCCUCCAUCACAAAAUAUGUAUUUUAAGAAAAAAUUUCUUAGCUUUAAAUGAAUUGAUAAGCAGGACAAGAAGAAAGCCAAGGUCUUAAUUUUCAAGAUUCAAAGUGUUUUUUUCUUUCUCUUCCAAGUCCCAGCAGUAGAAGCAUUUGAGUUCUGCAGAAAUUACUAAAGUGGUUCAAAUGUGGGCAGUCAGGAUACUCAGCCCACCAUACUUAACCCAAAGGCUAAAUCUCAGUCUGGCUGAGAGGUAGAGCACUCAGAGCUAAAACUUUCAGGAAUUUUCAGAACCUCAUAUCAAUGCUUCUUUGUUUUACCUCCUGUUGAAUUAUAUCCUCAUCUGCUUCAGUGCCCAUAAGUAUACAACACUGCAAAUUGUAUUUAACUUCAUUUGCAAUUAAUUUAAUGCGUUUCGUAUGCAACGUUUCUGUUAGGAAAUAGUAUUAGUCUCUCCUCAAACUAAAAUUCAUUGCAAAAAGGUAAUUCACUCAAGAAAAAUAAUGAUGAUUUUCUUCAAACACCUUUGAUGUCAUUCAACAAUCAUAUCCAAUGGGUAAAAUUUAGAGUUCGACUUUUAGCUUGCAUUUCUUCCUAACCAAACAUCUCAAGUUCAAAACAUAAAGCAGAUUGCUUUGUGCAGUUGUUAUUACUGCCACAUCAAUGGUCACCUACACUUCCUGAGCCCCAUAUAGAACUCUCAGAGAAGCAUUGUGUAUUUGUCAAUAUCCUGGAGUUUCGAAACUCCCAAGUGUUGCCACCAUUUGACCUGAAAUUUCCUCUCUUCUCAGAUUCCUGCCUCUAAACACAAAACAAACAAACCUUUAAGCUUAGCCCAUGUGUGAAUUUUUAGGGUCAUUUGUUUCAUAUCCAAAAAUACUUUAAGUCUCUUUGCUAAAUUUUGAUUUACCCAAAGCCAGUAGCCUGAACUCAACUUUAGCAGUCCCAGGGCUCAGUAGAUUUGCCUUAUAGACUCUGUAAUUGGAUAUUUAUAUUCCAUGCAUUUCUUCUUUCAGAGCAUAGCAGAAGUAUAGGAUAAUACCUUAGUCGAAUAUUGGCCUUAAAAUAGCUGUUCAAUUGCAGUACUCAUAGGAACCUGAAACUAUUCACAUUCAGCCGACAUUUCCAUUAGGUAGGAUGCUGCCUGCUAAUUCACAUUUGUCUGGGAUUGCUGCUCAGAGUUCGGAUUUAAUUUUGAUAAUAUAAACUCUAUCAUUUAAUAAAUAAUAAGCAGCAAAAAUUAAAACAAUUACAAUUGGGCAUUUUGAAUGAAAAAAACAGCAUGCUAUAUUAAGUUUUGGGGUCCCUCAAUAUCUUAGCCUAUGUUGCCUUUGGAAAGAAGCAAUCCUUAGAUAAAAAAUAGAAUAAAGUUUCUCUUCUUUUCAUUACUGCAUAAAACUGAGACAGGUAUUGUCAUUCUUGCCACUGACUCAGUGACAUGUCAGAAACAGUGAAGUCUUAAAUAUAUUCUUCAAAAUUUCAGCUGCCUAUAUAUAGCAUAAAAUUAAUUGCAUUUAGAAAAUAAAGUUCUGUUCCCUUAGCAAUUUUCAAGUAGAUCUUAAAUGUUCUCAACACAAAAAGAUUAGUAUGUGGGGUGAUAUAUAUUAUAAUUAGCUUGAUUUAAUCAUUUUGCAAUGUAUA